GACGUAGGGCGCGAGCGUUGUCCGGAUUUAUUGGGCGUAAAGAGCUCGUAGGCGGCUUGUCGCGUCGACUGUGAAAUCCCACGGCUCAACCGUGGAAAGUGCACUCGAAACUGCAGGGCUAGAGUCCUGGAGAGGAAGGUGGAAUGCUUGGUGUAGAGGUGAAAUUCGUAGAUAUCAAGCGGAACACCGGUGGCGAAGGCGGCCUUCUGGACAGUGACUGACGCAUGAGACGGCG
rnacentral:rRNA from 1 species